UGCCGACUGGGUGCCUGCACUAAGUUCGGCAUCAAUAUGGUGACUUCCUGGGAGCGGGGUCCACCAAGUUGCCUAAGGAUAGCUGAACUGGCCCAGGUCAGAAAUGGAGCAGGUCAGAACUCCAGCACUGACCAGUAGUGGGACUGUGCCUAGGCA
rnacentral:SRP_RNA from 1 species